rnacentral:lncRNA from 1 species
AUCUUGUUCAUCAAGAUUGAUUGAAAUUCUCCAUAGGUUGUGGUGGAUUUCCAACAGACUUUAUUAGAUUAAGUUUCAUGUUUUUGUAUUUUUUUUCGUUUAUUUUAAUCGUUUUUUCCGUAUUUCAAUUAUUUUUGCUUAAUAGGGACAUUGUCGGUAUUUUCCUAUUUGUUGUUGCAUUGUUGAAUUAGUUAUGUGUCUUCUCAUUGUUUGUUGAUUUUUU